AGAGUUGGCGAGGUAGUUGCAGUUUGGUGUUUUUAAUACCAAAUUGAGGAAAGUCCGGGCUUCCAAAGACCAGACUGCUGGGUAACGCCCAGUGCGGGCAACCGUGAGGAAAGUGCCACAGAAACAUACCGCCAAAGAUUGAGCCAUAUCUUUGGUAAGGGUGCAAAGGUGCGGUAAGAGCGCACCAGCAGCAUCGAGAGGUGCUGGCUCGGUAAACCCCAGUCGGAAGCAAGGUCAAAGGAAACUAUGGUUGGUCUUUUACCGGUUUCCGUUGAAUAAGUACCGCCUGAGGCUUCUGGCAACAGGAGUCCCAGAUAGAUAGCUACCCUCAAGAUGCUAUCUUGAGAACAGAACCCGGCUUACGUCCAACUCUCUUU
rnacentral:RNase_P_RNA from 1 species